UACGUAGGGUGCGAGCGUUGUCCGGAAUUAUUGGGCGUAAAGAGCUUGUAGGCGGUUUGUCGCGUCUGCUGUGAAAAUCCGGGGCUCAACCCCGGACUUGCAGUGGGUACGGGCAGACUAGAGUGUGGUAGGGGAGACUGGAAUUCCUGGUGUAGCGGUGAAAUGCGCAGAUAUCAGGAGGAACACCGAUGGCGAAGGCAGGUCUCUGGGCCACUACUGACGCUGAGAAGCGAAAGCAUGGGGGAGCGAACAGG
rnacentral:rRNA from 1 species